GCAGUAGUAGUUUAAUGGUAAAACAUCUGCUUCCCAAGCAGAAAUUGGGGGGGUUCGAUUCCCCUCUAUUGCUCCA
rnacentral:tRNA from 1 species